AUUGAGACGAGAGGUAUUUCUUCUAGGGUGUGGGCAAUAUUUGAUGACGUCGAAAGAUUUUGCUGCAGGUUUGUUGUGUCUGUUGUAGGCUUGCAGUAGUCCAUGGCUUAUAACAUGGACAAUAGCGACAGACCUUUGACUGCCAAAGAAAAGCGACAAGAGCAGCUAAAACGCUGGGAAAAUUCAGCUACAGACUCGGAAAGUAGCAUUUUAAACAAUUACAAGCCGAAAGUUAAGUUCCACGAUGGAGCAGUAUUUCUUGCUGCUUGCUCAAGUGGAGACCUGGAUGAAGUUCAAGCUUUGUUAGAUAAAGGCGCGGAUAUCAACUUUGCAAAUGUAGAUGGACUUACUGCUUUACAUCAGGCUUGCAUUGAUGAUAAUCUUGAUGUGGUGGAGUUCUUGGUGGAACAUGGAACUGAUAUUGAUCAGGAGGACAAUGAAGGUUGGACUCCACUUCAUGCGGCUGCAUCAUGCGGAUUCAUGGAUAUAGCAAGAUAUCUGGUUGACAACCAUGCAAAUGUUGCGGCUGUUAAUAGUGAAGGGGAAGUCCCUCUUGACAUUGCAGAAGAAGAUGACAUGGUGGAAUUCCUGCAAAAACAAAUAGAUAACCAAGGGUUGGACAUUGAAGCUGCUCGUAAUGAAGAACAAGAGAUUAUGAUAGCUGAUGCAAAACAACAUCUUAAUUCUAUUCACAAUGGUGAUCAAUCCUCAAUAUACAGACACCCUAAAUCUGGGGCAACUGCCUUGCAUGUUGCUGCCGCUAAAGGAUACAUUGAUGUUAUUAGACUUCUUCUUCAAUCUGGUAUGGAUGUUAACCUUCGUGAUAACGAUGGUUGGACUCCACUUCACGCUGCAUCUCAUUGGUCACAACAGGAAGCAGCCAAACUUUUAUCAGAUCGAGGAGCAAAUUUUCUUUCUAGAAGCAAUCUGGGUCAAACACCGUGUGAUGUCGCAGAUGAAGACAUGCUGGAAUAUAUGAGAGAAUUACAAAAAGAAAACCGAGCGCAGAUGAAAGAAAGUGAACUCAUCAACCCUCUUCCGACCAACACUAUCACUAAUAAAACGUUUGAAAUUCAUCAACAAAUUGACAUCCAUGAAACGAAGCGUGAAUUCAACGAGGUUCAUGAUAAUGAUGUGGGUGUUGCUCACAUUAGUGCUGCCGAAAAAGCUUUCAACCGCGACACGUUAAUGAGUUCAUCCUCCGAUUCCGAAGAUGACUCCACAUCAUCAAGUGAAGUGACAUCAUCAAAACUUACUGAGAAACAAAGCAAACUCGAUAAUGACUUCAUCACUGAUAAAAUUGGGUCACGUACUGACAUCCAAGAUACUUCAUCUCUGACUUACAGUAGCUCUGGGAGCAAUGUCCGGAGUACAACAGGAUUUGCUGGUCGGAGAGUAACGAGACCUGCAUCACUUCACAUAUCAUCAACAUCCGCAAACAAAGAUGUUCGUCCAACUAUUAUGAGCGCACAUGAAUUAUCAUCCACACGACCCAUAGCCACCACUCAACCCAUACAAACACCGAAAAGCAAUGGACCAGAUGCAGCUGUAGUAACACCAACAGAAAGAAACAGUGAUAUAAAAGAUGGCGCUCCUUCAACUUGGAGAUUAGGUUUAAGAAAAACUGGAAGUUUUGAUGAAAAGAUGAGGAUGGGUCGUCCUCCCACGGGAUCUGCUUCCCGUGGUUCACAGAAUGAUAUUGAUCGUUCUGCUUCGUAUAACGUCAGUAAAACACAGGAAGAACAGAAGUCAAGCAAGAGUGAAACACGCACAGCACGAGUUGCUCCAAUAAUCGACGCACGACUGCCAUCAAGCAAGUCAAGAAACACUUCCGCAGAUGAAAACGAGCCGGCCAGUAGUUUCCAAAGAAGUGGUUCAUAUAGAAGAUAUGCCAACGAAUCAACUUCUACAUUUUCAACGGCCACACCAAUUUCAUAUAAACGCAGUGAGAGGUCACGAACAUACAGCCAACCUGUAACUAUGGAUGGCAACUCGCCUCAUGCCACAAAACAUGGAUCGCUUGUCAAGAAAUAUUUGUCAAACUUUAAAAGUGAGGGUGGUGUGAAGGCAGGAGUUCAUCGUCAGCAUAGUUGUUCAUCACCACAUAAGCCAUCCAAUCGUCUGCAUCGCUCGCGUUCGCUCGAUCUACCUUCUAAUGAGGCCGACCAAAUUUCAAAUUUAAUUCGUCUUCGAUACCAGAAACUUGUCAAUAAAUAUAGAGAACCUGAUGCAAGCAAUAAACCAAACGAAGCAACUAGUGUGGAAGAAGCUGCAGAUACAAGUGAACAAACUAAUGCAGCUAUUGACAUACGGCCAGACAGAAGAAGAUCACAUCUUCAACCUGUCCGAGAUGAAGAAGCGGAAGCUCAAAGGAAAGCGAGGUCAAGGAGGGAGAGACAAACCCGACGAUCUACACAAGGAGUUACUUUGGAUGUGUUUGAAGAGGCAAAACGUACGAUUGACCAUAUGAAACAAGAACGAAGUGAAAACGCAUCAUCAUCAGUUAGCAAACAAACUGAUGCUUCAGAUUUAAGUGUAAAUAAUGAUCUUGGAAGAAUCCCACACGUUGAUUCGAUGGCAACAAACCACAGACGAUUCAACAGCAGUGCUUCCAGUUCAUCUAACAGUCCACGCACGGUCACACUGCCAUCUGGUUAUAUACCAUCCAACGAACGUGUGCGCAACACUGCCAAGACAGCACCAAUCACAACAGUGAUUCCAAGUAUUAAUAUCGACGCAGGAGAUGAAAAACAAGAUCCUCAAAAACAAGAUGAUGAUAAUGCAGAUGAGGGGAAUUCCCUAACCCCAGGGGGUCAAUCGCCUUCUGCUCGUAAAUCUGCAGCUCAACAAAGAAGAAGGCAACGUAAAGAGCGACGAUCGACCGGUCUUCCUGGUUUGAAACCGUCUGAAACAACGAAUACCGAUAACCAAAGUGAUGAUGAAGAAACAUUUAAAAAUGACACAGAAGUCAUGGAUGACGAAAAGGCCGAGCGUUUAAAGUCAACGGCUGCACGCUACGAUUCAUCCUCGUUACCUGAUCGUCACACAAGACAUAGAGCUGGUAUAAGAGGUAGCGAUAAUGAUCUUCCUUCACGUUUCGCAAUUCCUGUUGAUGAUAGAAAAACUGACGAUAAAGAUUAUAAAAAGAUGUAUCAGGAUUCGCGUGAUGAGAACGACCGUCUCCAGAGCGAGCUUGCUGAAGCGAAACGACGUGUCACCGAGCUUGAGGCUAGGUUAGAACGUGCUGAUGACGUCACAGCUCGUCGGAAAGCGGUGGAGAGCGAGAAGAGAUCGCUGGAGAAAAAGCUGGCCGAGGCUGAGAAGGAAUUAAUGAAUUCACCCAGUCUGGAUUCCUUACGUGCCAAAAACGUAGAGCUCCAGCAAGAAAACCAGGCCUUAACUCGACUGGUUAACAAACUAGGUUCCAAUGAAGUUGGUCCUCCCACAUUAUCACUUGUUGAUAGUUUCGCCAGUGGAUCAAGUGAUGUUGGCACGGAGAACAAACCUAAUGAUGAAGUGAUAGCCUCAGCGUCAACGAAGAAAUCUUACGUGGACGAAGUCCCUCCACGUAGAUCUUCGUAUACUAAAUAUGGUUCAGAUACAUUUUCAACUGCAUCCUCAUCCCGAGAUCAAUCUCCUGCAUCCAGAUCUUCAUCCUCGUAUAAAAGUGGUUCAUACGGAGAUGGCUCACGUCGGGCUCUCGGGAUGACCAAAUCUUCCUCCGCUGUUGACAACACAAGUUGGACAAGACCUUCGUAUCGAAGUUCAAGUUUAAAAGACAAACACUCGAGCACAUAUUCAAAAUUCUCCACUCCACCAAGCUAUACGACAUCAACUUCACGAAGUCACUACAACUCACUUCCUCCAAGCAGUCCAGUACUAAACCGAUCAAAAUUAACAUCAAGCAAGUCAUCAGCAUAUCCGUCCUCUAAAACCGACUCUUACUCGAGUUACAAACCUCGUACUUACGACCAGUUAUCUAAGAAUCGUUCAAGUAACUUCCCAACUUCUGCAAAUUCAAAACGAGUGGGAAAUUUAAUGGAAACAUACCGUUCGACUUCCAUAAAGCCGUAAUGUUCAUCUAGCGUCGACUGCCGGACGUCAAAUGUUGAGGCUUCACCUGACAUUUCGAAGCAGUCGACGCUUUUCACCAGCAGCCAAGGUGAUGGCGGACCUUAAAUCCGACAACCAGCGGCUCAAAGACGAAAAUGGAGCUCUCAUCCGUGUUAUAAGCAAGCUCUCCAAGUGACCUCAUUCUCUCACCUCGCCACAAUUUGCCGCAGGAUGGCGCCAUCGCUAAUCGAAUGUUCGAGAACAACGAUCCUGUGUCGUGAUUGGCCAGGAUCUGUCAAGAGUGUUGGUGAUAUGUUUAAAUAAGAGAAAAACACGCCGAACACUUGAGUAUACAGCAAGUACACCGCCAUAAAUAUCUAAAUUAUAUCAAGUGAAAUACUCGGUUGUUUAUAAAGAUGUUGGAUAACAUUGUAUUGCCAAUGUAUUGGUAGGCACGUUACAAGUUGUAUGAAUGCGGUAUUCUUUGCACGUUAGCGCACGACUAGUAAGGAUUAACAGAAUACACGAUCCUCGAAUAGCUAUGUCACGGUUGAAUAUUACACACAGUAUACGGUGCUUGCCUGUUAUUCACCAAUAUCUCUCGUACAAGUUAACACUUGUCAAUAAAGUGGACAAGUGAUUAAUCGGACCACUCAGGUAGUUCAAACGCACGCAGUAUGUACGUUAUGUAUUAGCAGUACGUUUCAACCGAGGCUUGUUCUUUUUAUCUUUACAAAAAAGUGAUUUUCUUUUUCUGUUGUCACGUUUAUUAAACGGCUGAAAAUUCCGACUAAGCCUAAGUGCCUCACGAAUUCAAUCAAUUUACUCUUCAAACCAGCACAACACACUUACAUACGGUUAAAGAUGUUUUCAGCUGUAAACUCCACGCUUACCACUUCACCGCUGGCUGCACCUCACACAAAAAAACCUUUGCGUUUUUAAUUGUUGCAACCUUCGUCAUAGUACAGCUAUGUAGCAUCACUUGCUGAUAAAACGGGGAAUUUUCAGUUUUAUUUUUUUCCAUUAUACAUGGGUUCAGUUAUAAGCUCUAUCUGUUUUCUUUCGAUUUUGAUCGUUACUACUAUUCUCUUAUUGACAACUUUCUCAAAUUUAAAAUGAUCGCAUUGAACAUUUAAAUUGAUUGGUUGUUUAAAUGAUUUUUUUUGCAAUUCGUUGCUUGCGUUUUUGUGCUUUUAUUCUUGGUCCUAGUGACUAUACGAAUAAACCUCUACUAAGGUCA